rnacentral:rRNA from 1 species
AGAGUUUGAUCAUGGCUCAGAUUGAACGCUGGCGGCAUGCUUACACAUGCAAGUCGACGCNAGGGGGCAACCCCGAGUAGAGUGGCGAACGGGUGAGCAAUACAUCGGAACGUGUCCUGUAGCGGGGGACAACCUCGAGAAAUCGAGGCUAAUACCGCAUACGAUCUACGGAUGAAAGUGGGGGACCGCAAGGCCCACACUAUAGGAGCGGCCGAUGCCGGAUUAGCUAGUUGGUGGGGUAAUGGCCUACCAAGGCGACGAUCCGUAGCUGGUUUGAGAGAACGACCAGCCACACUGGGACUGAGACACGGCCCAGACUCCUACGGGAGGCAGCAGUGGGGAAUUUUGGACAAUGGGCGAAAGCCUGAUCCAGCCAUGCCGCGUGAGUGAAGAAGGCCUUCGGGUUGUAAAGCUCUUUCGGCGGGGACGAAAUAGCGCGGGGUAAUAUCCCGCGUCGAUGACGGUACCCGAAGAAGAAGGACCGGCUAACUACGUGCCAGCAGCCGCGGUAAUACGUAGGGUCCAAGCGUUAAUCGGAAUUACUGGGCGUAAAGCGUGCGUAGGCGGUCUCGCAAGUCCGAUGUGAAAUCCCCGAGCUUAACUUGGGAACUGCGUUGGAAACUAUGAGGCUAGAGUGCGGCAGAGGGGGGUGGAAUUCCAGGUGUAGCAGUGAAAUGCGUAGAGAUCUGGAGGAACACCGAUGGCGAAGGCAGCCCCCUGGGCCAGCACUGACGCUGAUACACGAAAGCGUGGGGAGCAAACAGGAUUAGAUACCCUAGUAGUCC